rnacentral:rRNA from 1 species
UGGGGAAUUUUGGACAAUGGGCGCAAGCCUGAUCCAGCAAUGCCGCGUGCAGGAUGAAGGCCUUCGGGUUGUAAACUGCUUUUGUACGGAACGAAAAGCCUCUCUCUAAUACAGGGGGGUGAUGACGGUACCGUAAGAAUAAGCACCGGCUAACUACGUGCCGGCAGCCGCGGUAAUACGUAGGGUGCAAGCGUUAAUCGGAAUUACUGGGCGUAAAGCGUGCGCAGGCGGUUUUGUAAGACAGUGGUGAAAUCCCCGGGCUCAACCUGGGAACUGCCAUUGUGACUGCAAGGCUGGAGUGCGGCAGAGGGGGAUGGAAUUCCGCGUGUAGCAGUGAAAUGCGUAGAUAUGCGGAGGAACACCGAUGGCGAAGGCAAUCCCCUGGGCCUGCACUGACGCUCAUGCACGAAAGCGUGGGGAGCAAACAGGAUUAGAUACCCUGGUAGUCCACGCCCUAAACGAUGUCAACUGGUUGUUGGGGAUUUAUUUCUUCAGU